AUAUCAGUCAUGCAUAGCAUAUCAAUAAGCGGAGGAAAAGAAACUAACAAGGAUUCCCUUAGUAACGGCGAGUGAAGCGGGAAGAGCUCAAAUUUGAAAUCUUCAAGGUUCUACCUUGACGAAUUGUAGUUUAUAGAAGUGUUUUCUGUUAGUGGAGUGGCAAAAGUUCUUUGGAAUAGGACAUCAUAGAGGGUGAGAAUCCCGUAUUUGGUCAUUCCUCCUAGCGUUGUGAUACACUUUCAACGAGUCGGAUUGUUUGGGAAUGCAGUCCAAAAUGGGUGGUAAAUUUCAUCUAAAGCUAAAUAUUGGCGAGAGACCGAUAGCGAACAAGUACCGUGAGGGAAAGAUGAAAAGAACUUUGAAAAGAGAGUUAAACAGUACGUGAAAUUGUCAAAAGGGAAGCGUUUGACACCAGUGUUGUUUUUCCGAAAAUCAAUUACGAAUGUUUUGUUUUUAAGAAGUUAUGACUUCAUCGGCUUGCUUCUUUCUUUACGAAACUUUCUUAAUGCACUUUUCGGUUAACAAGUCAACAUCAAUUUCUUUUGUUGUAAAAGGGUAUGAGGAAGGUGGCUUUCUUUUCGGAGAAAGUGUUUAUAGCCUUGUGCCUCUGCAAUCGGAGAGAUUGAGGUCUGCAGCGUAGAUCCUUCGGGGUUAGAUACAGUUUGUGCUAAGUUAUAGCUUUUCAUAGACAACUUGUUGACUAUGUUUAGUCUUGUAGCUUACUCGCUUAUGCUAUUUUACCUACGCUUAGGAUGUUGAUCUCUCACAGUCGAGC
rnacentral:rRNA from 1 species